GAUAUAUAUGUAAGAAAACUAUUUAACCUCAUAGACUAACCUUGUAUACGGUACAUUCUAACAAUAUAUUUCUAAAGUUUUUAGUCAUUCCCGUUCAUUUGAAGCGUAAUUCCCCCCUUACUGUGGCUAGUUUGGAUGAGAUGACUUGACCCUAGCUAGCAUAACAUAUAGUAAGGUCGCCAUAUUCCGUCCACUUCACUGAUCACUUCACUUAAAUAGUGGAUACAUAAGUAACUAUCAUCACUUAUAAGUAGGCGGGCGGAAUUGGGAGACGGGCGGAAUUAGGCGACUUUGCUAUAAAUGGCAGCUAGCUCUACACUAUUUCGGGCAUUCGCUAACAAUCAGUGUGCAGAUAACUAGCGCAAACGUGCCGAGAUAUCUUGUUUAUUAUAAAAAUAAACGCUUGUGUUGUGCCAUGGCUUAUAUGGUGAUGACGUUUGAGAUUGUAAAUUUACGGGCCACAGAUGUGUCUAUGGUAAGGCCGACCUGACGAGAUAGCUGCCUACUGAGGUUUGAUUGGAUAUGGACAUUGUUUAUUUCAGAAGGAAAAUGUUUGGAGUGGAAUUGUUUGGAAGACAAUCUUGGGACAAUUUUGCUCUUUGGGUCUUUGUGCCAACCAUGCCAGCUAUCGUAGGGUGCUCUGGGAACUUCUUAGAUCUGUUUACUGUAUGUACACUUACUGAAAUAAGCAUUUUGUUUACAUAAAAUCCCUUGUCAUUUCACCACUAGGUUUGAAACCCAGACAGCACGAAGCAUCUUGCCGACGUCAAAAUCAGAUCAACAGACUGGGACAUCAGCCUUCUCUUGGGAAUAGGCCAGAUAUGCCAUAACAAGAAAUGGUGUUUUGCCCCUGCGGUUGUGAAGAGGAUGCUGUGGAGGUGGCAGCAUGAACGUGUCACACAGACAUUGGCUAAACUACUCGGCUUCUACACUUGCCCUCAGAGUUCACAUAUGGUGACGUGCACAUGUGUCCAGUCAGGUUCAGACUGAUGCUGGUAACAAGAGGAGAACAUGCUAAUUGAUGCUGUGUUGCUGCCAGUCCACGGAUGUACACGAAUGGCUCACCUGGAGGAGGAGGGCGGUCAACGACAUUACUCAUUGACAACAAAUGUGCUCUACGAUGACAUUUCCAGCAUGUCCAACUCAUCAGCAUCAGGGGAGAUUCGGUGGAGGUGGUGCACCAUCCAGGACCAGUCAUGGGCCACCAAAACCUCUGCAAAAUCUACACUUCUUGUGAACCCUGUAGAAGACACUACAACCACAAAACUGCUAAUAAACCAUCACAUACUGCGUCACA